GUCGACCGCCUGGGGAGUACGGCCGCAAGGUUAAAACUCAAAUGAAUUGACGGGGGCCCGCACAAGCGGUGGAGCAUGUGGUUUAAUUCGAUGCAACGCGAAGAACCUUACCUACUCUUGACAUCCAGAGAACUUUCCAGAGAUGGAUUGGUGCCUUCGGGAACUCUGAGACAGGUGCUGCAUGGCUGUCGUCAGCUCGUGUUGUGAAAUGUUGGGUUAAGUCCCGCAACGAGCGCAACCCUUAUCCUUUGUUGCCAGCGCGUGAUGGCGGGAACUCAAAGGAGACUGCCGGU
rnacentral:rRNA from 1 species